rnacentral:tRNA from 1 species
GCCCUGGUAACUCAGUUGGUAAAGAAUCUGCUUGCAAUGCAGAAGACCCAGGUUCAAUCCUUGGGUGGGGAA